rnacentral:rRNA from 1 species
UACCAGCACCCCGAGUGGUCGGGACGAUUAUUGGGCCUAAAGCAUCCGUAGCCGGUUCUGCAAGUCCCCCGUUAAAUCCAGCUGCUCAACAGAUGGGCCGCGGAGGAUACUACAGAGCUAGGAGGCAGGAGAGGCAAGCGGUACUCAGUGGGUAGGGGUAAAAUCCGUUGAUCCAUUGAAGACCACCAGUGGCGAAGGCGGCUUGCCAGAAUGCGCUCGACGGUGAGGGAUGAAAGCUAGGGGAGCAAACAGG